CUACGGGUGGCAGCAGUGAGGAAUAUUGGUCAAUGGGCGAAAGCCUGAACCAGCCAUGCCGCGUGAAGGAUGACGGCCCUAUGGGUUGUAAACUUCUUUUGUACGGGAAGAAACCCCUCUACGUGUAGAGGUUUGACGGUACCGUACGAAUAAGCAUCGGCUAACUCCGUGCCAGCAGCCGCGGUAAUACGGAGGAUGCAAGCGUUAUCCGGAUUUAUUGGGUUUAAAGGGUACGUAGGCGGAAACUUAAGUCAGUAGUGAAAUCCCGCAGCUUAACUGUGGAACUGUUAUUGAUACUGGGUUUCUUUAAUAUUGUUGAGGUAGGCGGAAUAAGUAAUGUAGCGGUGAAAUGCUUAGAUAUUACUUAGAACACCGAUUGCGAAGGCAGCUUACUAAGCAACUAUUGACGCUGAGGUACGAAAGCGUGGGGAGCGAACAGGAUUAGAUACCCUAGUAGUC
rnacentral:rRNA from 1 species